GUCCACGCUGUAAACGAUGUCAACUAGCUGUUGGUUAUAUGAAAUAAUUAGUGGCGCAGCAAACGCAAUAAGUUGACCGCCUGGGGAGUACGGUCGCAAGAUUAAAACUCAAAGGAAUUGACGGGGGCCCCGCACAAGCGGUGGAGCAUGUGGUUUAAUUCGAUGCAACGCGAAGAACCUUACCUACCCUUGACAUACAGUGAAUUUAGCAGAGAUGCUGAAGUGCCUUCGGGAACACUGAUACAGGUGCUGCAUGGCUGUCGU
rnacentral:rRNA from 1 species